AGCCACAAGUUAAUAUUUGUGGUCUAACCUGCCCAAUGUGCAAUUAAAAAGAUGAAUGGCCGCGGUACCCUGACCGUGCUAAGGUAGCGUAAUCAGUUGGCUUUUAAAUGGAGUCAGGAAUGAAUGGAAUAACCGGGUUUAGCUGUCUCCUUUCUAAUUAGUUGAAUUUACUGUUCAAGUGAAAAAGCUUGAAGAAAGAAAAGGGACGAGAAGACCCUUAGAAUUUUUUUUAGUGGGAAAUUUUUUCCUAAUGAUUUUGUUGGGGCGACAUGGAAAUAUAUAAAAACUUUCCUUUAGUACUUGCCGAUUUUGUUAAGUUGGAAUAAAUUACCUGAGGGAUAACAGCAUAAUUCUACAGAUGAGUUUGUGACCUCGAUGUUGGACUAGGGAACUA
rnacentral:rRNA from 1 species